rnacentral:rRNA from 1 species
AUUGAACGCUGGCGGCAGGCCUAACACAUUCAAGUCGAACGAGUGGCGGACGGGAGAGUAAUGUCUGGGAAACUGCCUGAGGGAGGGGGAUAACUACUGGAAACGGUAGCUAAUACCGCAUCCCAUCGGAUGUGCCCAAAUUGGAUUCGCUAGUCGGUGGGGUAAAGGCUCACAUAGGCGACGAUCCAUAGCUGGUCUGAGAGGAUGACAAGCCACAUGGGAAUUGCGAAACUGUCCAGAAUCCUCAGGGAGGGAGCAGUGGGGAAUAUUGCACAAUGGGAGUAAGCCUGAUGCAGCCAUGCCGCGUGUAUGAAGAAGGCCUUCGGGUUGUAAAGUACUUUCAGCGGGGAGGCGUUACCCGCAGGAGAAGCACCGGCUAACUCCGUGCCAGCAGCCGCGGUAAUUC